GAUGAACGCUGGCGGCGUGCCUAAUACAUGCAAGUCGAGCGAACAGAUAAGGAGCUUGCUCCUUUGAAGUUAGCGGCGGACGGGUGAGUAACACGUGGGUAACCUACCUAUAAGACUGGGAUAACUUCGGGAAACCGGAGCUAAUACCGGAUAACAUUUAGAACCGCAUGGUUCUAAAGUGAAAGAUGGUUUUGCUAUCACUUAUAGAUGGACCCGCGCCGUAUUAGCUAGUUGGUAAGGUAACGGCUUACCAAGGCGACGAUACGUAGCCGACCUGAGAGGGUGAUCGGCCACACUGGAACUGAGACACGGUCCAGACUCCUACGGGAGGCAGCAGUAGGGAAUCUUCCGCAAUGGGCGAAAGACUGACGGAGCAACGCAGCGUGAGUGAUGAAGGGUUUCGGCUCGUAAAACUCUGUUAUUAGGGAAGAACAAAUGUGUAAGUAACUGUGCACAUCUUGACGGUACCUAAUCAGAAAGCCACGGCUAACUACGUG
rnacentral:rRNA from 1 species